CAAGAUGGUGCGAGGGAAGUCGGCGGCAAACUUCCGCCCCAGGAACACGAACUUCAUACGAGGCUAGGUGACAUUGGAUGAGGCUGCCAUACAAGCCAAAGUCCCUACUGCCAAAGGUGUCACAGAGUAAAUGAAGUGGGGACAUGGAAGAAAAGUCUGCACU
rnacentral:ncRNA from 1 species